UACGUAGGGUGCGAGCGUUGUCCGGAAUUACUGGGCGUAAAGAGCUCGUAGGUGGUUUGUCGCGUUGUUCGUGAAAACUCACAGCUUAACUGUGGGCGUGCGGGCGAUACGGGCAGACUGGAGUACUGCAGGGGAGACUGGAAUUCCUGGUGUAGCGGUGAAAUGCGCAGAUAUCAGGAGGAACACCGGUGGCGAAGGCGGAUCUCUGGGCCGAUACUGACGCUGAGGAGCGAAAGCGUGGGGAGCGAACAGG
rnacentral:rRNA from 1 species